rnacentral:lncRNA from 1 species
AAAUUUCUGCGAUCAAUAUUCAGAAAAGGAAAAAAGAUGAAUUCGAUCACACUUUAUCUAACUUAUCUGGUAAGCAAUUAUUGAUAUAAAAGAGUGAGUCUUUCUCCUCCACAAGAAUCACAAUCCAGUCCGAUCAAGCUGCCUUGGCUUCAACCCAGAAAUUAGUUUUACAGCGACCAAACAUGGCCUACAAGAUGUCAUCAGUGCUUUUUAUACUUGUCCUGCUGCUAUCGUUUUCUCUCCUCUCGCCUCCAUCUUCUGCAGCAAGCACUCGUAAGUUGAAUUCAAACUAUAUAUUAAAAUUGUUUUUAAUUUCUUAUAUAUCAUCUCUUUUCUUUUUCUGGGUUUAUAAUUGUAGUUAAAAACAUCAAUGAAGUGAUAGGUAGAAAUUUAAUCGAAGCAAAACCACCUCCAAAUGAUGAUCAUCCAGAUGGAGGGGAGAAGCGUCGUAAAUAAUGGUUGUUAUCAUUAUUUUUGUUUUUCGCAAUUCUGCUGGGUUGUUUAGGAUUUAAUCCAAUUUUUUUAUAUAAUAUAAUACUCUUUGAUAUUAUAUCCCAUAAUUUGAACAUUAUGUAUUUUAGAUAAUCUUAGUACGUUAAUAUUUUAUGUAAUAUAUAUUUUAAUAUAUUUGUAUAUUAUAUUAUUUUAAAUGUAUUUUAUUUUAAUUUUGUGAUAUAUAAUCAUAUAAGCCAAAAAAGUACCACGGGC